CCUACGGGGGGCUGCAGUGGGGAAUAUUGGACAAUGGGGGGAACCCUGAUCCAGCCAUGCCGCGUGUGUGAAGAAGGCCCUCGGGUUGUAAAGCACUUUCAGUGAGGAAGAACGCCUGGUGGUUAAUACCCAUCAGGAAAGACAUCACUCACAGAAGAAGCACCGGCUAACUCCGUGCCAGCAGCCGCGGUAAUACGGAGGGUGCGAGCGUUAAUCGGAAUUACUGGGCGUAAAGCGCGCGUAGGUGACUUGAUAAGCCGGUUGUGAAAGCCCCGGGCUCAACCUGGGAACGGCAUCCGGAACUGUCAAGCUAGAGUGCAGGAGAGGAAGGUAGAAUUCCCGGUGUAGCGGUGAAAUGCGUAGAGAUCGGGAGGAAUACCAGUGGCGAAGGCGGCCUUCUGGACUGACACUGACACUGAGGUGCGAAAGCGUGGGUAGCAAACAGGAUUAGAUACCCCAGUAGUC
rnacentral:rRNA from 1 species